rnacentral:rRNA from 1 species
UUGACCUCAAAUCAGGUAGGACUACCCGCUGAACUUAAGCAUAUCAAUAAGCGGAGGAAAAGAAACUAACAAGGAUUCCCCUAGUAACUGCGAGUGAAGCGGGAAGAGCUCAAAUUUAAAAUCUGGCGGUUCUUGACCGUCCGAGUUGUAAUCUAGAGAAGUGUUACCCGUGCUGGACCGUGUACAAGUCUCCUGGAAUGGAGCAUCAUAGAGGGUGAGAAUCCCGUCUUUGACAUGGACUGCCUGCACGUCUUGGUGCGCUCUCGAAGAGUCGAGUUGUUUGGGAAUGCAGCUCAAAAUGGGUGGUAAAUGCCAUCUAAAGCUAAAUAUUGGCGAGAGACCGAUAGCGAACAAGUACCGUGAGGGAAAGAUGAAAAGAACUUUGGAAAGAGAGUUAAACAGUACGUGAAAUUGCUGAAAGRGAAACGCUUGAAGUCAGUCGCGUUGGCUAGAAAUCAGCCUUGCUUUUGCUUGGUGUACUUUCUUGUUGACGGGUCAGCAUCAGUUUCGACCGCUGGAUAAGGAYUUUGGGAAUGUGGCAUCCUUGGAUGUGUUAUAGCCCAUUGUCGCAUACGGUGGUGGGGAUUGAGGAACUCAGCACGCCGCAAGGCCGGGUCUCUGACCACGCUCGUGCUUAGGAUGCUGGCAUAAUGGCUUUAAUCGACCCGUC